rnacentral:rRNA from 1 species
UACGAAGGGGGGCUAGCGUUGUUCGGAGUUACUGGGCGUAAAGGGCGCGUAGGCGGCGCACCAAGUCAGGCGUGAAAUCCCUCGGCUCAACCAAGGAAGUGCAUCCGAAACUGCAGAGCUUGAGUACUUAAGAGGAUCGCGGAAUUCCCGGUGUAGAGGUGAAAUUCGUAGAUAUCGGGAGGAACACCAGUGGCGAAGGCGGCGAUCUGGGGAAGAUACUGACGCUGAGGUGCGAAAGCGUGGGGAGCAAACAGG